rnacentral:rRNA from 1 species
UAGCGUAGGGUGCAAGCGUUGUCCGGAAUUAUUGGGCGUAAAGGAGCUCGUAGGCGGUUUGUCGCGUCGUGCUGUGAAAACCCGAGGCUCAACCUCGGGCCUGCAGUGGGUACGGGCAGACUAGAGUGCGGUAGGGGAGAUUGGAAUUCCUGGUGUAGCGGUGGAAUGCGCAGAUAUCAGGAGGAACACCAAUUGCGAAGGCAGCUCGCUGGGACGUUACUGACGCUGAGAACGCGAAAGCGUGGGGAGCAAACAGG